rnacentral:rRNA from 1 species
CACGUAGGGGGCGAGCGUUGUCCGGAUUUAUUGGGCGUAAAGAGCUCGUAGGCGGCUCGGUAAGUCGGGUGUGAAAUUUCGAGGCUCAACCUCGAAACGCCACCCGAUACUGCUGUGGCUAGAGUCCGGUAGGGGAGCGUGGAAUUCCUGGUGUAGCGGUGAAAUGCGCAGAUAUCAGGAGGAACACCAGCGGCGAAGGCGGCGCUCUGGGCCGGUACUGACGCUGAGGAGCGAAAGCGUGGGGAGCAAACAGG